UGUAAAAUGUAAUGUCCUUUUACUUCUGAAAGUCGCUUUGGAUAAGGGUGUCUGACAAAUGCUGUAAAUAUAAAAACAACUGGACAGAGAAUUAUAUGUUUACUGUCCCUGUGUCACAUUCAAAAUUAAUGUCUUAUCUGUUCAGAGUUCAUGGUGCUGGUCAAUAGUGGUAAUGUGAAGCAGCACUAUGAAACAAAAUAUUCAAUUGUCUUCAUUCUAUUAAUGCUUAAGCAUUAAAAGGUACCCGUUAUUGCCACCUGGUCUUUCUAUGAAUAAGCAAAUGUAUACAACUGGAUCUUCACAAAUUUUAAAUGUGAUUGGUUGGAGCGAGACCGUGCUACGAUUGGUCAGUGCAAUGUGGAGGUUAUUCAAUUGGCUUGAAUAGACGGUGGGUCCAACUAUUUGUGAUUUGUGUGCACUCUUGAUGCUAGAAAUGUUUAAAAAUCCACAAAUGCACAGGACGCGAUCCACAAAUGAAUGCAAAGUUUUGUUUGUGACAUAAAAACAUAUUUGUAAAAACAAAUAUCUUUUUUUUUUUUUUUGCAAAUCUCAUUUUAUUGACUUAAUUUAUGUUUGUGAAACUACUAACAUAUUUGUGGCGCUCAUUCAACAAAAACAAAUUUGUGAAUCUGUUGAAAUUUUUAUUUUAUUUUAUUUUAUUUUGCAAAUCUCACUACAUUUAUUUGUGCGUCGUAAUCUAUUUAUUUUGGAAUUAUGAAACAAUUCUAACUCCAUAAUUUCAUAGGGACUUUAAAUACCCCUCAUCUAGAGUGUCACACCCACUGGACAGUCUCCAAAUGUGCGAGCCAAGCAGCUGGAAAACAGAAUGGAGGCAGUGAUCACGUGACCUGGGAUGUGAAGAAUGUGUAGGCUGCUUAUUCGCAUCAAGCGCGCGCGCGCGCACACACACACACACACACAGACAUGUACACAGCGUGUCGCUAAUAAAUCAGCAAGACACAUAUUAAAGAAGCUGUCGAGACAAGAUCUAGCCUACACGAAUAUAGAUCCUGAGAAAGCCAUCAGACCUGAUAACAUCACAUCAGACCAGUGUUUCAAAGGAGACAGAAAUCUAAACAGCUGCAGCAGAUUUUUUAUUAUUUUUUUUCCUUCCAUGUAAAAUUCUGUUGUUUCUCUCCACGGGAUACUCAUAUAGGUUAAAGUCAUUAUGAUGAUUCUGGCUGUACGGCUAUAUAACCUACUAUUUACAGAUGUCCAGCUCUAAAGUCUCUACAGGACACUCUUAUAGCUAAUGGAAUAAUAACGCUCUGGAGAUGGCACAUUUCAUGACUUCAGCUUGCUAAAUAUGGCGAAUUUUAGUAAACUCUGGCAAGCUACUUCAACUGCUCUCACCCAGACACUGCUCUUUCACACAGAAACAGAAAAAAUGCAUCAUCCCAGUUGGCUAACCCUGUUUCUCACUACAGCAGCUGAUAUCCAAUAAAAUGUGAUCAAACAAAUGAAUUCAUUCAUCUUUUUUUUUUUUUUUUAAAUAAUCAUUACAAUAAAUGUUAUUAAUGACAUCAUAACAACAUAAAGUGAAGUGCUACUAUGAAAGAAAAUAUAAAUACUUUAAAAUGUUUUAAUAGUAUUUAUGAACGAACUGUUAAUGUUUAAGCAUUAAAAGGUAACUGUUAUUGUCAUAUGUUCUUUCUAAAAAUAAAGGACUUUUGGAUCCCCAUAAA